CAAGCAACUCACUGUGCUUUGGUACUGGACUAACUGAAUUUCUAAUUCAGAGACGAAAGGCUUCUGGGCACAGUCAAGUACUUGCGAAGUCAGAGUGUGAUUGAGAUGGGAUUGACCACUCCAAGAGUUGGAGAAGAAUGAGUCGCUGUAUUUCAAUUUAGCAAAACCUUGGCCAGGGUAAUCCAUCAGAUAGAUUUGAUAUUUUGAAAUACAAUGUGGACAACCUGAUCAGAGUUGACAGUUGAACUUUGGGGUGUCCUAUGAUCAUUUUGGUCAAGGAAAUAAAUUAUAUGAAAACUAUAUCCAUAUGGGUUCUAAGGAUGUUGUUCUACACAUUCGACCUAUCCGGUCGUCGGGUACCAUUGCUAGAUGGUCACUUCGAUUGGUACAAAAAUUUAUUCCUGUGCUACCGGCUUAGGUUCGGACCUAUGAGGUCACACACAUUAGAGUUCAUGAUCCCAUCGGAUGGUUGAUCAACGAUUAAGAAUCAUUCUAGGGUUAAAUGAUCAAUACGAUUGACAUUUAACCCAGUACAAGUGUUGCAGGAGGAUCGAUUAGCAAUUUGAUUACUAAUUGGCUUAAUUUGAUUAAGUCAAUGGGCUGCGAUUAAGUCUAAUUAAAUAUGAUUUAAUUAGAUUUGGUUUGGGCUUGAUUGGAUCAAGUCCAAUUGGUUUAUUGGAUAAGCCAAGUGCAAGAAAAAACUAGUCCUAGUUCAACUAGGACUUGGGUCAAUCUAAUUUCUAAUUUGAUUAGAAGAUUAAAUCAGAUUUAAAUCUAAUUUAAUCUGAUUAAAUUAGGUUCUUAAUUGGGUUAAGACCUAUUUUAAUUAGGUUGAUCUAAUUUUGGUUUGAUUUGGU
rnacentral:lncRNA from 1 species